GAGUACUCACUAUCAUAGGGGUUCUCAAACUGUGAGUCAAGACCCCAAAGUGAGUCACGCCCCCAUCUGAAUGGGGUUGCCAAGGCUGGUGUUGGCCCUGGGCUCCAGGAAGUCCCAAGCCCAACCCCCGCCCCACUGCCCAGAGCUAAGGUUACAUGCCCUCCACCCAGGGCAGAAGCCCUUGGACUUCAGCUUUGGCCCCGCCCCGGUGGUGGGGCUCGGUUUUUGGUCCUCUCCUGGGGUCGUGUAGUAAUUUUUGUUAUCAGAAGGGGGUCACAGUGCAAUGAAGUUUGAGAACUGCUGGAUUACACAAUACUUUAGUCUGACAAAAAAGCCAGCAUUGUACAAAAAAAAAUUUACAAACUGAACAUUUAGCAGCACUAUGAUUUAGGCUAUGUCUACACUACGCAGCUUUUAGUGACACAGCCGUGCCGCUAUAGCCAUGCCGCUAAUAGGUGCGCAGUGUAGCCGCUGUUUGUCAGCUCUACUCCCAACAAAGUGCUGUUCACACUGGCACUUGU